UUAUUUUAAUCACAGUUUUUAUUUCCUCUCUUAACAGCUUCAUAUGGGAAAACAGGCUGAGGAGCAGCAGAAGUACGGAGAGCGGUUGGCGUACCUGCAGAGCUCCAUUGACAAACUAUCUGAAGCCAUCAAGCUGGCCAAGGGUCAGCCUGACAGUGUGCAGGAUGCCUUGAGAUUCACCAUGGACGUUAUUGGGGGAAAGUGAGUAAAUU